ensembl:lncRNA
ACUCAAUACCUACUAUGUCCUAUGCUCUGUUCAAGAAACUUGGAAUACAUUAGUGAGCAAAACAAAGAUCUUUGACCCACGGAGUUAUGUACUAGUGGUUAGACAGGCAGUAGAGACUGGAACAUGAUAUGUAAUUAACAACCACAGUGUGUGAGCAUGAUAAUGACUGUGUAGAAAGGAAAGGAAAGAAAGGAAAAUGGGCAGCAGGAUAAAGUGCUAGGCAGUGCAUCUCUCCUUUCUGCUGCUUUAAGCACUGGCCAUACCCUUCUCAAAACCACUCUUUGCAGCCAAUGGAGCUGCCUUGCCGAGAUAGGCCUAGAAGGUUCUGUAUCCUCUUAUUUCACGUCUAGGAGCUGGCUUGCAUGCACUCAUCAGCUGUAUGGGUCUAUUAGCAUGCCCAAGAUGGGCAACUCAGUGAUGCCAUUUAUAGUUAAAACUAGACGUCCCAGGGAGUCAGGCUAGGGUCCUCCCACUAAACCACAUCUUUAUCUAGCUUCUUUCCUGCCCUGUCCAGCUUCUCUCUCUCCAACAAGCUACACCUGAAACACUCCCUCAUUAACUCACUUGCCCAGGAGCCUCUACUUCAGUUCCUAAGGAGCCUCCAAACUGAGCUCGGCCACAGUGAAAGGGGAAUAGGUGUGCUGAUAGCAGAGCAGGGGUCUUAUCAAAGGAUUAAGUAGCAUAGUCAAAAUGGAAGAAAUGGGACUUGAUCAAAGACCUGAAGAAGAUGAGAGACUCAGCCAAGAGGAGAAACACUGCAGGCAGAGGGCAGAGUUAGAGCAAGGCCCUGUGGUAGAGAGAAUAUCACGCUUCCAGAAGACCACAUCCUCAUCUGUAGAACUUGUGAACAUGUUAGGCUACAUAGCAAAGGGCAAUCACGGUUGGAUCAAGGCUGCCAAUCACGUGACCUUAAAGUAGCAUAGUCCUGGAUUACUCAGAUGGGCUCAAUGCAGUCCUAAGAGUCCUUGAAAGUGGGAGAGGGAGGCGGAAGAGGAAGUCAGGGGGAGGCAGGAGGUGGAGUCAGAGUCAGAGGAAGCUGUGCCUGUGGGGGAGAGACAGAAAAGAGUCAUGUUUCUGGCUUUGAAGACAGAGGAGAGGGUCAUGAGCCAAGAAAUGUGGACAGCCUCAAGAAACUGGAAAAGGCCUUCGUAGGGAUUCAGGAUUAUGUUUGCACUGUCAUCCUCUGCUUUGCCUUAGCGUCUCCUGCCUGGACUCAGCUCCUGAGAGUUGGACUCUAAAGAAAGCUGAGUGCAGAAGAAUUGAUGCUUUUGAACUGUGGAGAAGAACUCUUGAGAAUCCCUUGGACUGCAAGGAGAUCCAACCAGUCCAUCCUAAAGGAGACCAGUCCUGGGUGUUCAUUGGAAGGACUGAUGUUGAAGCUGAAACUCCAAUACUUUGGCCACCUGAUGCGAAGAGCUGACUCAUUUGAAAAGACCCUGAUGCUGGGAAAGACUGAGGGUAGGAGGAGAAGGGGACGAUAGAGGAUGAGAUGGUUGGAUGGCAUCACCCACUCAAUGGACAUGAGUUUGGGUAAACUCUGGGAGUUGGUGAUAGACAGGGAGGCCUGGCAUGCUGUGGUUCAUGGGGUUGCAAAGAGUCAGGCAUGACUGAACUGAACUGAUAGCUCCUGAUUGACUUUUGAAUUUUUCAGUUUUGGACUACUUUAAAGAAUGCUAUGGUGAACAUUAUAAAUACAUAUUUUGGUACAAAUGUGGAUGCACUUGUGUUGAGUAUAUUCCCAAAGAGUGCAGUUGUUGGGUUGUAGGAACAUUUGCCUUUAUAAAUAUUACCACUUUUCCCAACUGGUUAUACCAAUUUUUAUUUCAAGCUGCCAUCCAUAUAUGAGUGUCCCUUGAUCCAGAUCUUGAUAGCACUUGGUAUUGUUAGUAUCUUCAAUCUUAGCUAAUUAAUGAGCAUAUAAUUAUAUUCAUUGUGGUUUUAGGUUCCAGUUCAUGAUGAAUAAUGAGAUUGGCCACAUUUUCACAUGCUUUUUGGCAAUUUGGAUAUCUUUUCUGUGAAGUGCCUGUUCAAACAUUCUGAGCAUUUGAAAACUUGGUUGCUGGCUUGGUUUAUUGUAGGAGUUUUUAAUGUAUUCUGUAUUUCAUUCCUUUGUCAGUUCUAUAUGGGGCAAGUGUUUUUUACUCUGUGGCCUUCUUAUAAAGGGAUCUUUGGAUAAACUUCCCCUGGAGAAGGAGUUGGCAACCCACUCCAGUAUUCUCGCCUGGGAAAUCCCACAGACAGAGGAGCCUGGAGAGCUACAGUCCAUGGGGUCACAAAGAGUCAGACAUGACUGACUGAGUGAUAGCAAUAGCAUUGAUAAACUUCACCUUUAAAUUUUAAUGAAGUCCAGUUUGUUAAGGUUUUUCAUUUUGGUUUGUGUUUUAAAAAAAUGUCUGUGUAGAAGAUGUUAUUUUUGAUAAUGUUUAUUAUUUUACCUUUCCCUUUUUUGAUCUGUGGGCCAUCUAGAAUUAACUUGUAUGCAGGGAGUGGGGUACGAGUAAACCUUUAUGUUUUUUCCUAUGUAGACAUCUGGUGGGCCCAGUACCAUUUAUUGAAAGUACCAUUUUUUCCCUUACUGUGGUACAGUGAUGUGCUGUGCUGAGUUGCUCAGUCAUGUCCAACUCUUUGCUACCCCAUGGACUGUAGCCCUCUAGGCUCCUCUGUCCAUGGGGAUUCUCCAGGCAAGAAUACUGGAGUAAUUUGCCAUGCCUUCCUCCAGGGGAUCUUCCCGACCCUGGAAUUGAACCAGGGUCUCCUGCAUUGCAGGUGGAUUCUUUUUUUUUUUUUAAACUUUACAUAAUUGUAUUAGUUUUGCCAAAUAUCAAAAUGAAUCCACCACAGGUAUACAUG